AACAGGACUCACUGUUCACACUCAUAUUGACACUGUACUGAACAACAGGACUCGCUGUUCACACUCGUGUUGACACUGUACUGAACAACAGGACUCGCUGUUCACACUCGUAUUGACACUGUAAUGAACAACAGGACUCGCUCUUCACACUCAUACUGACACUGUUCACACUCAUAUUGACACAGUACUGAACAACAGGACUCGCUGUUCACACUCGUAUUGACACUGUACUGAACAACAGGACUCAAUGUUCACACUCGUAUUGACACUGUACAGAACAAUAGGACACCACACAGCUGCCAGCGCACCUCACCGUACGGUGAGAAAGUAUAUAAUUUUAUUAAGGGUCCCCAGCCUCUAUAUAAAUGAGGAAUAAAAGAUACGUUGUUUGCACAUUGGUUAAAGGGGACAGAAAGGAUGCCAAUGUCAAUUCCGCCCCCUGGUGUCUGGAGCUGGUGCCGGACCAACCUCUUUUAUUCAUUCCCAGACUCAACAACAUGCAGCACCACUGCUACAGAGUCUUCUGCUCCUCCAAGUCCCAAGGAGAGGCAAAUGAACUGGGCUGCGAUCUGGUCUUCACUAGGAGUCCUACUGAUGUGCUGUGUGCUCGUGCUGGGGAUCCUGUGCCACAGAAAGAGAAGGAGACCCAGAGGUAGGAUCCACUCAUCUCUCCAUUCCCCCGCCCAUGCUCUGGAGAUUAAUCAUCUAUAACAGGGGUCCAGGGGUCCCCCCCCACACACCCACAUCUCUAAGUCUUCAUUCCAGCUGAACUCUGAAUCUCCAGUCCUAACUGAUGACAUCAUUCAGGGGUCCCCAAUUCUGGUUCUAGGGGACCCCCAGCCACACCUUUACAGAUACUCACCCUGUCCGUUCUCCUCUCUCUGCAGACAGUCAGACAAAGCCAGAGCCUUUCUAUGAAGUCAUCAAGGACACAGGAGCUAGAGCAAGCCGUGAGUACAGGGA
rnacentral:lncRNA from 1 species